UACGUAGGGACCAAGCGUUGUUCGGAUUUACUGGGCGUAAAGGGCGCGUAGGCGGCGUGUUAAGUCACUUGUGAAAAUCUCUAAGCUUAACUUAGAACGGUCAAGUGAUACUGAUGUGCUAGAGUGCAGAAGGGGCAACCGGAAUUCUUGGUGUAGCGGUGAAAUGCGUAGAUAUCAAGAGGAACACCUGAGGUGAAGACGGGUUGCUGGGCUGACACUGACGCUGAGGCGCGAAAGCUAGGGUAGCAAACGGG
rnacentral:rRNA from 1 species